AGAAUAAUAGUGUAAUUAUUUAAUUUUUUGAGAGACUUUCAGGUUGCGCUGAUAGUUCAUUCCCAAAAUGCAUUGUGUUGAGAGGUAAACUGUCUGGAAACAGUGCUUUAGAUAUGACGCACAGGCUGUGUGUGCUCUGCAUACCAGGCGGACACAAACACGCGUGGAAAGUUAUGAAGUCUAGUGAGUUCGAUCAAAGAGCUGGAGAGUGACAGAAAUACACUGUUAUGGGCAGAAUUCAUUCUGGCGUGAAAGCCGAGGGAUCCAGGAUUUAUUUAAGCCUCAACGGGAUAUUUCUGUGCAGCACAUUUGCGGUUUGAUUUCUUUCUUUGCAUUUGUUUAGUUUGGCGAGUGGAAACACAUAGGCGCGUAUAUCAUGAAUAUCGUAACUGAAUUAUUCGUGGUCACUUUUAAAAUAAUAUGGUCGUUUUUACUGGCCGGUGCAAAAUGGUUCAUUCCUCCGCGGGAAAAGUGUGUGGAGGGUCAAGUGUGUGUGAUUACGGGAGUUGGACGCGGUCUCGGGCGACUCUUCGCGCUGGAGUUUGCCCGGAGACGAGCGAGCCUCGUGCUGUGGGAAAUCAACCGACAGAAGAACGAAGAGACCGCGGAGAUGGUGCGAGAAAUUUACCGAGAAAUCAAACCUUCCUUUGGGGAGUUUAAUGGCUCUUUGGAUAGUGUUCAAGAGUUGUCUCUGUUUCAGCCAAAAGUGUACACGUAUGUUUGUGACAUCAGUAAACCCAUGAGUCUUUGAGCCAUGAACUGAAAGCAGCUGAUAAGGAUGGAGUAAAGAUGACGCUUUUCUGUCCUUUUUUAGUUCACACUGGCAUGUUCAAAGGCUGCAAAAUUAGGAAAGAAAUGGCUCUGUUGUUUCCACCACUAAAGCCAGAGUACUGUGUAAAACAGGCCAUGACAGCCAUACUAACAGACCAACCAAUGAUCUGCACACCACGAGUCAUGUACAUGGUCACUUUCAUGAAAGCGUUAAGUAAAUAAGUCAAGUACUUAAAUAUUCUUGUUUAAUUUAAUAUGUCUAUUUAUAACGGCCCUCAAUCUCUCUUAUUUUGCAGUGUUUUGCCAUUUGAUGUCAUUGUUUGCAUAUACAGAUUUAUCAGUGCUGAUAAAUGCAUGUACCCAUUUUUGGCUCAACAGAAGGAGUCCACAAACAACAAUUAAUCAAAGACUGGAAUCUAACUGGUUCUGACUGAGCAAUGCUGCAAAAAUAUUUUGCUGUCAACUUUGACGUUGCAAUAAUUACAAAAUGUAGAACACUAUGUAGCGAUUGUCUUUAAUUGUAAGAUGUCGUGUGUUACAUUAGGGAUCAUAUGAUGUGACCUCAAGUUUUCCUUUCUCUUUGGAGUGUUACAAGCUGUUCAUGAAUGGAUAAAAUCACUAAAGGUUUGCAAAGACUAAAGUCUCAAACCCAAAGAGAUAUUCUUUAUAAAAUUUAAGACUCUUCCACGCCCCACUAAAACGGUUCAUUCAAACAUGCCCCCACGUCUACGUCACUGUGUGGGAAGAUUUGCAUUACACCGCCCAAAUGUUCAUGCAAAGAAAGAUGGCGUAACAUUAAUUUCACUGUAGUACUGUUGCUGCCGCCGCAGCUUGCAUCUUGUGGAGAUGCAUUUCAUGGUGAAAGUGAAACUACUUUGUUUGGCCUUCCAAAAGAGGACACAACUAGAAAUCAUUGUUUAGGUUGAAUUUACAACACUGUUCCUGAACAGUUUAAACCAAAUAUUCAGAUGUGUGCAACACAUUUUACAGAGACGAUGACCGUUUCCUGAGAGAGUAGCCUACAAUGCCAGUGUUCUGACAUCCCCACUGGAUGCUACGAAAGUCUCGUUUCUAGUGGGUGACACACGGCAUCACAGGUUGGUAAGGUGUAACAUUUCCGCCACACACUUGAGGCAUUCAGCCAAUCACAACACACUAGAUGGCUGGCCAAUCAGAGCACACCUUGCUUUUCAGAAUGAUGAGCUUUGUAAAAAUCGACGUGUUUCAGAAAGCUGGGGCAUAGAGGAACAACAUUAAUGUACAGUAUGUGAAAAGUUUAUUAUUAUUUUUUUUACACCAUAAAACGCAAAACACAUUUAAUUAUACCAAAUAUGUGUUAUAAAUGGUAAUAAUGUUUUUUUUAUUGUAUUUUUAUUUUUUUGUAAUGUCAUAUGACCACUUUAAGGCCUUUCUCCUGUUUGUAUGCAUUCACAUUUUAUUUGUCAUGUAUUGUUGCUUACCUCUUAAUAUUCCAAGACUUCGUCACUUUAGAGGAUUUAUCCUCCUAAAAACACCAUGAAAUGCACUAUGUAAUGAAAGUAUUUCUUCUUGUUGCUUUUGUUGUCUUGAUCUUCUGAUAAUUUGGACAACAACAAUGAUUAAAGUAAAAGAUUAGCAGAAAGGUGCAAAAGUGCUUAUUGGUAAAUAAACGGUCUUCAAAU